AACGCGAAGAACCUUACCUGGGCUCGAACGGCUUCUCAACGGCGGUGGAAACACCGCUAUCCCUUAAAAGAGUGGAGUCGAGGUGCUGCAUGGCUGUCGUCAGCUCGUGUCGUGAGAUGUUGGGUUAAGUCCCGCAACGAGCGCAACCCUUGUCCUGUGUUGCCACCCCGUAAGGGAGCACUCGCAGGAGACCGCCGAUAUUCAAAUCGGAGGAAGGUGGGGACGACGUCAAGUCAUCAUGGCCCUUAUGUCCAGGGCUACACACGUGCUACAAUGAUUGCUACAGAGCGCUGCAAACCCGCGAGGGGGAGCCAAUCGCAAAAAAGCAAUCUCAGUACAGAUAAGAGUCUGCAACUCGACUCUUUGAAGUCGGAAUCGCUAGUAAUCCCUGAUCAGCAGGCAGGGGUGAAUACGUUCCCGGGCCUUGUACACACCGCUAGUC
rnacentral:rRNA from 1 species